rnacentral:rRNA from 1 species
UACGGAGGGUGCAAGCGUUAUCCGGAUUCACUGGGUUUAAAGGGUGCGUAGGCGGGCAGGUAAGUCAGUGGUGAAAUCUCCGGGCUUAACCCGGAACUGCCGUUGAUACUAUCUGUCUUGAAUAUCGUGGAGGUAAGCGGAAUAUGUCAUGUAGCGGUGAAAUGCUUAGAUAUGACAUAGAACACCCAUUGCGAAGGCAGCUUACUACACGAUCAUUGACGCUGAGGCACGAAAGCGUGGGGGGAGCAAACAGG